UACGUAGGGGGCUAGCGUUGUCCGGAUUCAUUGGGCGUAAAGGGUGCGUAGGCGGCGCGGUAAGUCGGGUGUGAAAUCUCGGGGCUUAACUCCGAAACUGCAUUCGAUACUGCCGUGCUUGAGGACUGGAGAGGAGACUGGAAUUUACGGUGUAGCGGUGAAAUGCGUAGAUAUCGUGAGGAAGACCAGUGGCGAAGGCGGGUCUCUGGACAGUUCCUGACGCUGAGGCACGAAGGCCAGGGGAGCAAACGGG
rnacentral:rRNA from 1 species